UCUUUUUUUCCUUCUCAUUUUGCUCUCAUCGGAAGCAAAAAUGGUUUUCUUUUAACCUUGGGAAAGCAUAGGCCUGCCCAUAAGGCGUCCUAGGGACAGGGGUUUUUGGUCCAUGGGACCUUUUGUUCCCCAGCACUCGGCCUCAUAUCCUGGAGUCGUCUGUGCUUCAGCUUCUGGAUCAGGUAAGGCACUGGUGUGCAAUGUUUGCUACUCCUGGUCUGCCUGUGUUUCAGUUGCGUUUCUGUAUUGCUGUCAGAGCAUUCGACGGCAAGUGCUUGUCCCCCCAUCCGGUGUGCCCUCCUGACCUGCCCAAAAGGCGUCCAGGGGCAGUGGUGUAUGUGGCCCCUACACACCCUUUAUUUUUACGGAUGGGCGAGGGAGGCGGCAGUUAAAGGGUCAGCCUAUUAUUAGGCAAAAUUAGUUAGGGGCCUGAGCCUUACUGCCUCCUGUUUUUCUUUUGUUUUUCUUGUCUUUUAAAUGGAGGACAGGUUCCAUGGCCAGCUGCCUCCCUCAGCAGACUUUCCUAAGGUGGAGGUCAUUUAAAAAAAAAAAAAAUGUCCGCCUUAUAGGUUUCAGCUAGAAACGGUGCAUGGCUCUGUUAGGCGAUACCAAUUAUCCAAUUUGCCUCUGUGUAACCACAGCAGUUGCUUUUGGUUACCUGCUUCUGCAGACAGCACCUGAGUUUAAUCAGCGGGUUCCACUGGUAAAGUGAUCCCCCCCAUUGAACACAAUUAUGGGAUUCCUCUGUAUGUGCAGACACCAGCUGAGUAUAAUCAGGUGAUUCCUGUGCAACUGCCAGCUAUAGCAAGUGGAGAUGGCCCCGCCCACUCUCUAACUCUGCAGACUGGAAACUCUGUCCAGCAGCCUCAGGUAAGUACUGCUAUCAGUAAACUUGUGAGGCCUGUUAACAAUGAACCUGGUGUCCUGCAAUAUGUGGCAUUAGAGACCUACUUACAGCCUGGCAUUAGGAGCUACAGGUAAGGAACAUGUUCAUAUUCUGUUCUGAAGUGUACUGAGCUAAUCCUUUGCUGAUCUGCACUGUGCAAGGCUCUGACCUUUUGCUCACCUGAAACCAGCAGUGUAUGCUGAGUUCUGGCUAAUUGCUCACUUUAUUCCAAUAGUUCUAGUGGCUAACACUAUCCUAUGCAAAACUACAGUGUACUGAGUCCUGUACAUUUGCAUACCUGACAACAAUAGCCCUAAUGAAUGCUGCUAUUUGUUCUGUGAGGUGAUGUGCUGAGGUUUUUGCUAUUUCUGGAAUCAGUAUUGCUCUCCAGUAUUGCUCUCCUGGAACCAGUAGCCCUUAUGAAUGCAUCCCUGGGCUGGCGGCUAGGCUUUGAUAUACUGUAUGCUUGCUCUAAACAGCAGCUAAUUCAAACUAUGUAUAACAUGUUGCUGUGAUUGUAUCUUUGCUUUGCAGGAUCUAAUACACUUACAUCUGAAUGUCUUAUAAUACAAUGCAUUCUUCUAUGUUAAGGUAUUAUUUAAUUCAAUUAAACAUGGAAUUGUAUCAGGUUGAUGUUCUCCCUGUGCUAGGUGAGUUUACAUAUUGUUUCUGAUAUACACAGCAGGAACGGCUAAGCCUGUCUGCUAUAUGGAUUACAGGUAUUAAUUGUACAACACAAUGUUUGGGGCCCUUCUCUGCAAGUUUUUCCCUGUUUUGUGUUGCAAUUCACUGUCGGCAUUACUGGAGGGCCAAGGCAGUUUGCUCCUUAUUCCGGUCAAAUAGGCAGUAUUAUUCAAUAUCCAUAGCUGGAGCUCUGGGGUUGGUCAGUAUACUCUCAGAGAGCAGUAUCUCUAGGUCCUCAACAGAGGCCUAUGUAAUAAUCUGCCAUUACAAUACAUGUGGCUUGAUACAUGCUAGCACCAUGGCUCUACACCCUGUUGGUGGUCUCUAAAGGAUCACUUAUGGUGGCUUUAUAUAAGACUAAGUCGUCUAAUCAUCCGAGAAGUAUGCUUAUCCUAAGAAAGCCAAUACCUUCAGAAUGAAUGCUUAACCAAUGGUUAACUGUAGCGUGUAAGUGUUCUGCAUAAGAGUCUUACAUGUGUGCGUAUCAUGCGUGUGUGUGUGUGUGUAUAUAUGUCAGUAUAUAUGUAUACAUAUAUGUGUAUGGGCCAUCUGCAUAUAUGUGCAUGGCUAAUGCAUGUUGAGAUAAAGCAUUAUUUUGGCCUCAUGGGGCCCCUAUGCCUCCUGGGCUCCCUGCAGCCGCGGGGUCUGCUUCUUCAGUAGUUACGUCCAUGUCUGUACCUGGAGGUCCAGACCCGAUUGUGCCCUUAGCUGGAUAGCUCCUUAGUCCCUCCUAAGGGCCGUAGGUGGUGACUGCCACACAGAAUUAUGCAUUGGCACAUACUACUAAUAAACCUACUGUCAUAAUACACACAUCACACCCCUCGGAGAUGACCUUUGUUCAGUCACUAGGGUUGCAUCGCUAAGUUUAAUUGUUAUUAAAUCUUACCUAUAUAAGCUCUCCUGGCAGUUAGAUUGCCGUGGUAUAAAAUAUGAUACAGGCUGAACAUCGCUGUUGUGGUUUAAGUCAUACUACCAGCAAAACAGAACAUCUCUGUGGCCCAAAAGCCAGGUUUCUGCUCUGUGUCUAGAAGACAGACUUAGUCAGUUGUCCAUUUGUUUGUCUAGUCUCC